rnacentral:rRNA from 1 species
UACGGAGGAUGCGAGCGUUAUCCGGAUUUAUUGGGUUUAAAGGGUGCGUAGGCGGUCCGUUAAGUCAGCGGUAAAAUUGCGGGGCUCAACCCCGUCGAGCCGUUGAAACUGGCAGACUUGAGUCGGCGAGAAGUACGCGGAAUGCGCGGUGUAGCGGUGAAAUGCAUAGAUAUCGCGCAGAACUCCGAUUGCGAAGGCAGCGUACCGGCGCCAGACUGACGCUGAGGCACGAAAGCGUGGGGAUCGAACAGG